GUGGCACAAUGGGUCAGUGCAUUUGGCUGUUAACCAGAAGAUUGGGGGUUCAAGCCCCCCCCGUUGGCA